UAGGGAUAAGGGGUGCCACCAUCAGGUGGCCGCAGAGAAUAGGCCCAAGCGACUGUUUACCAAAAACAUAGGUUUCUGCUAAGUCGCAAGACGAUGUAUAGGAGCUGACGCCUGCCCGGUGCUGGAAGGUUAAGGGGAUCUGUUAGAGCAAUCGAAGCAGUGAACUUAAGCCCCAGUAAACGGCGGCCGUAACUAUAACGGUCCUAAGGUAGCGAAAUUCCUUGUCGGGUAAGUUCCGACCCGCACGAAAGGCGUAACGAUUUGGGCACUGUCUCAACAACAGACUCGGUGAAAUUGUAAUUCCGGUGAAGAUGCCGGAUACCUGCGACAGGACGGAAAGACCCCAUGGAGCUUUACUGUAGCUUGACAUUGGGUCUUGGUACUACAUGUACAGGAUAGGUGGGAGGCUUUGAAACCAGGACGCCAGUUUUGGCGGAGCCAUCCUUGGGAUACCACCCUUGUAGUACUGGGACUCUAACCAUAGGCCAUGAAUCUGGUCUUGGGACACUGUCAGGUGGGCAGUUUGACUGGGGCGGUCGCCUCCCAAAAGGUAACGGAGGCGCUCAAAGGUUCUCUCAGUACGGUCGGAAAUCGUACGUAGAGUGUAAAGGCAAAAGAGAGCUUGAUUGCAAGACAUACAGGUCGAGCAAGGAUGAAAAUCGGACUUAGUGAUCCGGUGGUUCUGCGUGGAAGGGCCAUCGCUCAACGGAUAAAAGCUACCCUGGGGAUAACAGGCUUAUCUCCCCCAAGAGUCCACAUCGACGGGGAGGUUUGGCACCUCGAUGUCGGCUCAUCACAUCCUGGGGCUGUAGUAGGUCCCAAGGGUUGGGCUGUUCGCCCAUUAAAGUGGUACGCGAGCUGGGUUCAGAACGUCGUGAGACAGUUCGGUCCCUAUCCGUCGCAGGCGUAGGAAAUUUGAGAAGACCUGUCCUUAGUACGAGAGGACCGGGAUGGACGUACCUCUGGUGUACCAGUUGUCCUGCCAAGGGCAUGGCUGGGUAGCUAUGUACGGAAUGGAUAAGCGCUGAAAGCAUCUAAGCGCGAAGCCAACUUCAAGAUAAGAUUUCCCACCGCAAGGGUAAGACCCCAGAAAGACUAUCUGGUUGAUAGGUCGAAGGUGUAAGUGCAGCAAUGUAUUUAGCUUAUCGAUACUAAUAG
rnacentral:rRNA from 1 species